rnacentral:lncRNA from 1 species
GAGGAGAGAAGUGAUAAGUGAUGGGGUGGGGGGAUGGAGGUGAUGGGGGGGCCCGAGAGGAGAGGUGGAGGAGAGAGGAUCCUGGAGGUGCGGAGGCACUGGCCUUUCUCAGCCCCGCCAACGCCUCCUCCCGCCGAGGUGGGCCAGCUGGAAGGCUGCCAAGUGCGCGCCCGCCGGGCUCGCCCCGGGCGAGCCCAGCGCUCGCCGGCGACGUGGAAAACCUCGAGAGUUUUAAGACGUCAGGGCGAAUCGCGAGGUGCUUUGGGGAACGCCGCACGGGGGCCUCGGGGUCCCGCGGAGUUUUUGGGGACGCACCAGGCCGCGUCGGGAUGCCCCGCUCGGGAGGCCGCAGCCUGGGGGCCGCUCACACUCUGUUGGCAUCUGUCCGCGCCUGUGUACGUGGCUCUUGACGUGGAGAGCUGUGCCUGUGGACAGCGUGCACCGGAGGGAGGGACGAAAGGAUGAGGCCUUGGCCCAACCUCUGUGCCCUGGGAGUCCCAAAGCCACUGCUAUUUUGUCAGAUUAACCCCCCAGACCCACGAGGAAAUCCUUGAGGCUUCGGGGAACGUGGGAUUUGUAGUGCCGCUGGUUCCAGAUGGUUCCUCCUUCAGACUUUGGCAAAUCGGCAUCCCAAAGAUUUCCUCUUAUCCUUCUGCUGUGUUGAGCAGACAUUACCCAGACACGGCGCCCGGAUCUCUGCUCUUCAUAAAGAAUAGAUCCUGUGAGCACACAGCAAGAUGGCAGCUGCUGACGAGCCAGGAAGAGAAGUCUCACCAGAAACUGACCGUGCUGGUACCCUGAUCCUGGACUUCCAGCCUCCAGAACUCACAAGAUUUCUCCUUCUGCUCCCCAGAGGAAAAAGAAACCUUUGGAGACGAGCUCCUGCAACGCCCUGCUUCUCGUUUGUCUCUCUCUGCAUUUCUCUUUCCUCGUUGUUAAACCAGAGGGGCGUUCCUCCUUUUAUCCCAGGCCAAUCUCUCUAUCUCUUAUCUGGAUCUCAUCACCUCCCAUAUGCCCAGGAACUGUGUUCCUUUGAUUAUCCUCUCUCUUUAUUUCAGCCUCUCCCUUCACAUCAAUAUAUAAUUGUGCUCAGAAUGUCCUUUUUUG